rnacentral:rRNA from 1 species
GAGUUUGAUCUUGGCUCAGAGCGAACGCUGGCGGCAGGCCUAAUACAUGCAAGUCGAACGGCUCUUCGGAGCAGUGGCGGACGGGUGAGUAACGCGUGGGAACGUGCCCUUUGGUUCGGAACAACACAGGGAAACUUGUGCUAAUACCGAAUGUGCCCUUCGGGGAAAGGAUUUAUCGCCAUUGGAGCGGCCCGCGUUGGAUUAGCUAGUUGGUGGGGUAAAGGCCCACCAAGGCGACGAUCCAUAGCUGGUCUGAGAGGAUGAUCAGCCACACUGGGACUGAGACACGGCCCAGACUCCUACGGGAGGCAGCAGUAGGGAAUCUUGCGCAAUGGGCGAAAGCCUGACGCAGCCAUGCCGCGUGAAUGA